rnacentral:lncRNA from 1 species
UGCACACACCCCCUACCUCCCUGCCUACAUUCCACCCAGCCUGACUGCUCUGGAAGGAAGAAUCCCUGCAAGGUGAGUGUUAUUAUAUCCAUUUGUGGACCAGGACUGCGGCUCAGAAGCUUUUCCCAGGACACUGAACUCUGACAGGUGAAUAGCUGCCAAGUGGUGGAGGUUGGCCUGCAGUGAGCAUCAGUCUGACUUCGAAGGACAGAAUGACACAUGGUACAAGCUUUCUGUCUUACUGCCACACGUCAGUGUCCUGGGAGAUGAACCAGAUGCAGCUCCCUGAUGAAUGUGGGAAUAAAAAUUUAAAUUUAUGACAUUACUUGAGAAUAUUCAAUUCUGCUGUAGAGGACAAAAAAAAUGGAAUAAUGAAAUCCAUCAUAAACCCUGGGCAUAGUUGGUAGUUAAAUACAUUUGAGGAGAUUAACGCCAAAUGAUUAAGAUGACAUGAUAAGAUAAGGUCAGCAAUCAGGGGCUGUUAAUCUACCUACAACCCCCAUCCACCUCCACCAUACACAUACACCAAUUGUCUUUUAACACUUACGUUCUUUGCAGAAUUGGGUUUGGUUAUGUGAUUACCAUUGACACGUUAUGACGCAAGUGCUCCUGGGGUGUAGACCAUUGUUUUUAUUAAACUUCUGAGCCAAAAUCAUAGAAUGGCGGUAUUGAGCAAGGAGGAGGGAGAAUCCAUGUAUUGUUGGUGCUUGUUAUCAGAUUAUCCCAAAAUGGAUACUAUUCUACUUCACCUGGGACCGAAGACAGCCCACAGACCCAUUACGGGUACAUUUUAGAUAAUAUUUCUGAUGUUAGAGAAUAAGCAUUUUCAGACCCCACCAGGUUCUCCAGCUUCUUGGCCUGAGCUUUCAGUUCCUCCUCCCUCCUUCUUCUUAUCCUCACCUCCCCACCCCAAGUUAACUCAGACUAGCCCAGAUAUGCCCUGAGCAAAGGAAGGGAUCCUGCCAAGCCCUAGAUGCUUUGCAGAAACCUCAGUGAUAGAAGCCAAAUACGGAUAUUCAGUAUA